ensembl:lncRNA
CUCUUGCAAGAGCUCAGAGGCAAAGCUCAGCAUGUUUGUGAUACCCAUUUCUCCCUCUUCCAUUUCACACAUCCUAAAGCCAUUUCCCUUGAGGCUGUCAAAGGCAGGUGGGCUUAAGGAGGUGCUACUCUUCAGGCUUUUAGAAGUAGAAGCCCUUGUGAGUAAGGUCAGCAGCUUCAAAGGGAGAUGUUAUCUCUUUUCAGACAGAAAGCCCUCUGCCCCCCCCCCCAGACGCUUCCCAAAGGGAUGGAUGGAUGCCCUCUUCCCACCCAAAGGUCCUGCAGAUGCACAAAGGCUGUCUGGGUCCUCAUGGAUUUUGCCACCUUGGUCACAAUUUUUGCUCUCUGGCGAGUCACCUAUUUUCGCAAAGCUUGUAGGCGCUUUGUGUCAGCAAGACUUCAACUCCUCUGCCAAAGCUAGGGGAGAUUGGCCAAAGGGUUCUAAGGUUUCUUGGAGUGGAGAUGCUGGAUUGGCUGUGAUACCCUUCUCACUUAUUUGUUCUUCAAACCACGCUGCACAAGCCUUGCAUCUUAAGAGACGAAGCUAAAAGCCACGAGUCUACAUAUUUCAGCCUUUAUUUUUGGAGGCACCUAGGGUUGCAUUUUCCAUCUGUUUCUCCACAGCUGAGCUGGCUAACAUUUUGUUUCUCAGUUUGCACUGGAGCUGGGUUCUUAGCAUUUUGCUAUGGAGAUUGGAAUCAUAUCAGUAGUAUCUCUUCCUGAGUGCAUCAGCUCUGACCACACCAGGUGGGAUGAGACCCACAGCAUCUGCUGUGGGUUUAUUAUAGCUCUGCCUGCUUACACAGAAUGGAUGUAGACCGGCAUGUAUUCAACUUCACCAAGGGCCUAUUCUGGAUAACCAAGUGUAGCUGCCUAUUUUUCUGUCACAAAAACAUGCAUCUGAAUUCAUGUUUUCACCUGGAGGGCUCAAGAAAGGGGGAGAGCAGGUCGAUCUGACCAGAUGAGUUGUCAAGAUGUCCAUCCAUCUCCCCUAAGCCACAGUUUUGUAGGCUCAGACACAGAACUGGGGCUGCAGGAAUGAAUGCUUGCACAACACAGAUUCAAGCCCGGGGGAGGUUUCCUGUCUAAGCAGAAAAAAACAGCUUAAAAAAUAUUUUCUAUGUAUUUGUAACAUUCUGCAAGGAGAGUUUUGUCUCUUUUGCUUCACCAAUGAAUGCAGACAACUAUCUUCUUACAUUUUUGGAAUUAAAAAAAUAAAGAGUGAAACAGUGUUUUUCCAUUAGUACUUCCUAAUAGGUUUUUUAAGGUUUUUUUUUUUUUUUUUGCCAUUUUCCUUAUUUU